ensembl:lncRNA
AAUGCAUUGCAUUACACGUUGGGGAGACAGUAGACACGGACCAAAGCCGCAUAAACCCUUGAGAGUAGAGACUGGAACGACGUCCUCCGGGAAAUACCUUCCCAGAGUUAUGCCUUCAAUUGAGGUCUCCAUUUUCUAUCGAUUGUCUCCACAUCUCCAUCUGAGGCACCAUCCGAAUCCAGGCAGAAAUCUCAAGAGUUCUAAAGUAACAGGGAACAACAGCAUGUCUACAUGUGCUGGGAGGAGAUGAGUGGGGAGCCUACUGACCAAAACACCUGCAGCGGAAAAAACCCGCUCAGCAGGGACAGGUGUGGCCGGGAUAGAGAGCCAGGGCUACCGAGGAAACGUGGGAAAACAUCCAGGACUGUGAAGGAGUUUUCCUGGUCUUGAACCAGUGUCUGGCGGUAUUGAAAUGUUGCCCUCAUCUUCUCUUUCGACAAUUGUUGCAUCAGUCGUGUGCUUCAAUAAAGAGAUCGCCUCGCGGCAUUCCUCACCAAACAGUUGCUUGUCAGUUAGGAGACAAUCCCCCUUGCUCUUUG